GGGAAGGUAGCUUAGUGGAAGAGUGCCUGCCUUGCAUACAUGAGGCCCUGGGUUCGAUUCCUAGCACCA
rfam:Dipodomys ordii contig_45428, whole genome shotgun sequence.